rnacentral:rRNA from 1 species
CUUUGACCUUACUUGUGUAGGAUAGGUGGGAGGCUUUGAAGCUGGAACGCUAGUUCCAGUGGAGCCGUCCUUGAAAUACCACCCUGGUAAUGUUGAGGUUCUAACUCUGUCCCGUGAUCCGGGACGAGGACCGUGUCUGGUGGGUAGUUUGACUGGGGCGGUCUCCUCCUAAAGAGUAACGGAGGAGUACGAAGGUGCGCUCAGCGUGGUCGGAAAUCACGCGUAGAGUAUAAAGGCAAAAGCGCGCUUAACUGCGAGACCCACAAGUCGAGCAGGUACGAAAGUAGGUCUUAGUGAUCCGGUGGUUCUGUAUGGAAGGGCCAUCGCUCAACGGAUAAAAGGUACUCUGGGGAUAACAGGCUGAUACCGCCCAAGAGUUCAUAUCGACGGCGGUGUUUGGCACCUCGAUGUCGGCUCAUCUCAUCCUGGGGCUGAAGCAGGUCCCAAGGGUAUGGCUGUUCGCCAUUUAAAGAGGUACGCGAGCUGGGUUUAGAACGUCGUGAGACAGUUCGGUCCCUAUCUACCGUGGGCGCUGGAAAUUUGAGAGGAUCUGCUCCUAGUACGAGAGGACCAGAGUGGACGAACCUCUGGUGUACCGGUUGUGACGCCAGUCGCAUCGCCGGGUAGCUAUGUUCGGAAGGGAUAACCGCUGAAAGCAUCUAAGCGGGAAGCCUACCUCAAGAUAAGAUUUCCCUAGGACUUUAUGUCCUCUAAAGAGCCGUUCGAGACUAGGACGUUGAUAGGUUGGAUGUGGAAGCAUAGUGAUAUGUGAAGCUGACCAAUACUAAUUGCUCGUGAGGCUUGACUAU